rnacentral:rRNA from 1 species
UACGUAGGGUGCAAGCGUUGUCCGGAAUUAUUGGGCGUAAAGAGCUCGUAGGCGGUCUGUUACGUCCGCUGUGAAAACCCAGGGCUUAACCCUGGGCUUGCAGUGGAUACGGGUAGACUAGAGGUAGGUAGGGGAGAAUGGAAUUCCCGGUGUAGCGGUGAAAUGCGCAGAUAUCGGGAGGAACACCGGUGGCGAAGGCGGUUCUCUGGGCCUUACCUGACGCUGAGGAGCGAAAGCGUGGGGAGCGAACAGG